UUUUAUACAAUUUUUACACCAUCUGAAAGCUUAUUGCAAAGAUCAUAUAACUAGUAAAGAUGUCGCACGUAGAACAAACUUCUGUGCUUGAAAUUUUCUACCAUCAGAUUUUACCCAUAGGUCCAAAACAUGUAUCCAAGAAUUAAAUUGUUGAGAAACAUUUUAAAAUUUUUCGAUGACUGCGUAGAAAAGAGAGGGUUGAUUUGUAUAGAUGAAUUUAUUUAAUGGGAGGAAGCGAGAUAGUAGUAAAAUGUUGAUACGAAUAAGGAAAAGAAAAAAAAUACAUUUGUCUGCGAGAAUGUACCUAUGAAAUAAUUUUUUUUUUUGUUAAAUUAUUCAGGAAACUGAUAUUAACACAUGAUUCAAAAUAAUAAUUUAAAUAAGAAUAAUUUUAGAUAUAUAUAUAUGACAAGAGUGUAUGAGCAAAAUUGUGUGAAAAUGAAUUUCAACCCUCAAAUUGUCAAUAGGUCCAAAUCAUUAUAAUGCAGAAAUCCUUCGCAACAUUAAAAAAAAGUUCUUAUCAUGAGUGGGAAAGAGAGAGUUAUUUUUAAUAGAUUUCUUAAAUGCGAAGGACCGAGAUGUAAGUUGAAUAGGAACAAAUGAAAACAAAAAGGAUCGUUUUGCCGUGCGGGUAUAUAUUUUUUUUCACAACUGGAUUGCUUCGCACAAGCAGGGCGAAGACGAGAUGGCUAGUUUUAAAGAUUGAUGAAAAAAAGAAGCAAAAACAACUUUUGCAAGUGACUGGUGUGCUUGAGGUGGGUAGGUAUAGGUAGGUAUACGUGUAAGCAGAAGAAGGUUGAUAAGUUUUUUUUGGUUUUAAUUUUUUUUCGAUGGUAGUUGGAUAUUUAGAUAUUUUUUUAAGCGGAGGGUGGUUUUCUAUUUCUAUAUUUUUGUUUCCUUUUUGAAUAAUCGCAAAGGCACAGGCGCAUUGCUUUUAGGUGUAAGUACACACGUAAUAGGUAUGUAGGUAGGAUUUUUUUUUCCUUUGCGACAGCAAUCGUCCUUGAAAAAUGUAGUUCAUAGUAUUUUGGUUGGAAAAAGAAAUUCAAACAAGUGGUAGGUAGGUAGGUAGGUAGGAAGUGAUAAAAAUGAUCAUUCUUGGUUUGUUGUUAUUUUCUUUAGUGAGGUAGGUUAUGUAGGUAUCUAUUGAUAUUGAAAGAU